CUUAAACCUCAGCUAUAUUGAGGCUGCUGCCCAGUCCAGGGCAGUUUGUGAAGAACUCCAUCUGGGCCUCAUUUAUGAUGAGUGGGUGCUUUAUUCCCAUGUCCCCUGGGAAAAUUAUAAAGAACUAUGGCUCUUUGAAAUGUCCGGAUUUUGAGUUAGGAGAAGUAAUCUACCAGGAUUUGGUCUGGGGGUGAGUGAAAAAAAGUGGGGCAUACCCAGGGCGCACAGGGGUUAGGGGGAGAGGUGGGGAGAGUGCCGGACACGGCUACCUGCUGAGGCAACACCAUCAACAGACAAAGCUGUGGGCGCCGGCAGCUUCAUAGUGAGGGAGCCCAACCAGGGGGAUUUCAGGGCAAGAACUGUCUGUGUGGAGUAUACAGCAGGCUUUUAAAAAUAGCUGUUAACAAGCUGAGAUAACGGCAGAACAACUACACUUUCUGUUAAGAUCAGGCAUGAGAGCUGCCACCCUGUCCCUUGUCCUUUUAUUUCUUCAGAACUGAAGGAGCCCGCCCUUCCAGGUGAGCCCAGCGAACCCAGAGUUGUUCCUGUGGCAUCUGUCUAGCCAAUCUCGAAGUCAGAAGUCUGAAGUGGGUCGUCUGGGACUAAAAUCCAGGUGUCCGCAGAGCAGCAUUCCUCCUGGAGGUGAUAGGGAAGAACCCGUCCCUUGCCUUCUCCAGCUUCCAGAGGUCACCUGCACUCCUUGGUUUGUGGCUGUGCCCCCCCGACCUCUGCUUCCAUCGUCACAUCUCCUCUGACUCUGGCCCUCCUUCCUCCAUUUUAUAAGGAACCUUGUGACUACAUCAGGCCCACCUGGAUAAUGCAGGCUACUCUCCCCAUCUCAAGAUCUGCAACUUCAUCACUUCUGCAAAGUCCCUUUUUGCCACAUAAAGGUGACAUAUUCACAAGUUCCAGGAAUUAGGACAUGGAUGGCAUAGGGCAGGGGGGUAAUUAUUCUGGCCACCACAGCAGAGACUAUGACGCUUACAUAAACUGGCUUCUUCCUGAUUUCUCUGAUUUGUGUCAUUUUAGUCUAUUAGGAGAGAACUGGCUCCAUGAGCCCGUCCCCUCCCAUUCGAGCAGCGUGUUCUCCAGGACAUGCCCCCACCCACUCCUGCCCUGCAUGACUCCCACAGCUGCCCUGCUUUUCAGAAGCCUCCCUUCCCCGAGGCUUUGCCAACUCUGGCAUGACCAGCCUUCAGUGAGGGCUGGGAUCCUUAAAACAGAUCUUUGCACGGUUCUGCCUCCCUUUUCACAGGGCCUUCGUGGGCCAUGCGUGGGCGGCAGCCACCCAGCCACGACAAGAGGCAGGAGUCGGGGAGGUGGAGGGGCCCCUAAGAGCAGGGGAGGCAGGAUGGGGAGG
rnacentral:lncRNA from 1 species